rnacentral:SRP_RNA from 2 species
GCCGGGCGUGGUGGCUCAGGCCUGUAAUCCCAGCACUUUGGGAGGCUGAGGUGGGCGGAUCACCUGAGGUCAGGAGUUCAAGACCAGCCUGGCCAACAAGGUGAAACCCCAUCUCUA